CUAUGAGUCACCCAGGGAUCUUUUUAAAAUGCAGACUUUGUUUUAGUCGGCCUAGGGUGGUGCCUGAGAGUCUGCAUUUCUAAUAAGCUCUCAGGCGAUUCCAGU
rnacentral:pre_miRNA from 1 species